GAGAACAGUGAUGACUUUCCUCAUUUCUGUGUUUUGUUUCUGUGUUUCCAGGACCCACAGGCAUUGGUAUGAAUGAGCUGAAGAGGAAACUAUUGAUCUCAGACCCCCAGCACUUCAGUGUAACCAUCCCACACACAACUCGGGCCAAGAAGAACCAGGAGAACGAUGGCGUUGAAUACCACUUCAUCGCCAAACAUCUUUUUGAGACGGAUAUCCACAACAACAAGUUCAUCGAGUAUGGCGAGUACAAAGGGAAUUAUUAAUGGGACAAGUCUGGAUUCUGUACUCUCCGUUCUCUC